rnacentral:rRNA from 1 species
UCUAGCAUGUGCGCGAGUCAUUGGGACUUUUUUUCAGGAAAGCCCAGAGGCGCAAUGAAAGUGAAGAUCGGCCUUUUCGGCUUGAUCGAGGGAGGAUGGCUCAUUGUUAUUUUUUAUGAUGACGGGCUCGCACUCCCGGGGCGUCUCGCGCUCAUUUCGAGCGGAGGCGCACCCAGAGCGUACACGCUGGGACCCGAAAGAUGGUGAACUAUGCCUGGUCAGGACGAAGUCAGGGGAAACCCUGAUGGAGGUCCGUAGCGAUUCUGACGUGCAAAUCGAUCGUCGGAACUGGGUAUAGGGGCGAAAGACUAAUCGAACCAUCUAGUAGCUGGUUCCCUCCGAAGUUUCCCUCAGGAUAGCUGGCNCUCGCUUAAAGCGAGUCUCAUCUGGUAAAGCGAAUGAUUAGAGGCCUCUUGGGGCCG